rnacentral:rRNA from 1 species
GACGAACGCUGGCGGCGUGCUUAACACAUGCAAGUCGAACGGUGAAGCGCCUUCUUUUUUGGCGGGUGUGGUUGAGUGGCGAACGGGAGAGUAACACGUGAGUAACCUGCCCCCUUCUUCUGGAUAACCGCAUGAAAGCGUGGCUAAUACGGGAUAAUCUGGGUCUGUCGCAUGAUGGGUCUGGGAAAGAUAUUGCUCUGGUGGGGGAUGGGCGCGCGGCCUAUCAGCUUGUUGGUGGGGUGAUGGCCUACCAAGGCGGUGACGGGUAGCCGGCCUGGGAGGGCGGACGGUCUGACUGGGACUGAGACACGAGCCAGACUCGUGCGGGAGGCAGCAGGGGGGAAUAGUGCACAAUGGGCGUAAGACUGAUGCAGCGACGCCGCGUGAGGGAUGGAGUCCGUCGGGUUGUGAACCUCUUACGCCAGUGAAGCAGGCCUGCCUCGUUUGUGGGUGGGUUGACGGUAGCUUGAUAAGAAGCGCCGGCUAACUACGUG